AUUGAACGCUGGCGGCAGGCCUAACACAUGCAAGUCGAGCGGGCGGCGGACGGGUGAGUCAUGUGUGUGGACUGCCCGAUAGAGGUGGCUAACUGCUGGGAACGGUAGCUCAUAACGCAUCCAGUUGGACUACCCCUAUGGGAUUAGCUAGUGGGUAGGGUAAUGGCUUACCUAGGCGACGAUCCCUAGCUGGUCUGAGAGGAUGAUCAGCCACACUGGGACUGAGACACGGCCCAGACUCCUACGGAGGCAGCAGUGGGGAAUAUUGCACAAUGGGCGCAAGCCUGAUGCAGCCAUGCCGCGUGUAUGAAGAAGGCCUUAGGGUUGUAAAGUACUUUCAGUCGGGAGGCGUUACCGACAGAAGAAGCACCGGCUAACUCCGUGCCAGCCGCCGCGGUAAUAC
rnacentral:rRNA from 1 species